UAUUAUAAUUACUCGAAACGGAUAUCUUUUUCUGAUUGGCACAUGCGUAGAAGACAAACAUUUCGAAUUUAUUUGCGCCAAUUUGGUUACCACAUCAGUUGCUCUCGGCAGAGUAAAAUGAUGUCUUAACAAAAAAUCCAUGUCUGUAAAGUACAUCUCGGAUAAAAAGAAUAAAUAUGCCUAUGGUGUCCAAGCUUGACCGAUUGAAAUAAUAAGAGAUGCUGUAGUAACAAGUUUCGAAUGUAAACAUUAGACCUUAAUAUGGAACAACAGUACAAGAUGUCUAGCAGAUGGACUAUUUUUUUCUUAAAUAAAAUAAAAUAUUCAA